UGGGGAAUUUUGGACAAUGGGCGCAAGCCUGAUCCAGCCAUGCCGCGUGUGUGAAGAAGGCCUUCGGGUUGUAAAGCACUUUCGGCCGGAACGAAAUCGCGCGGGCGAAUAUCCUGCGUGGAUGACGGUACCGGAAGAAGAAGCACCGGCUAACUACGUGCCAGCAGCCGCGGUAAUACGUAGGGUGCGAGCGUUAAUCGGAAUUACUGGGCGUAAAGCGUGCGCAGGUGGUCUCGCAAGUCGAGUGUGAAAGCCCCGGGCUUAACCUGGGAAUUGCGCUCGAAACUACGGGACUGGAGUGUGGCAGAGGGAGGUGGAAUUCCACGUGUAGCGGUGAAAUGCGUAGAGAUGUGGAGGAACACCGAUGGCGAAGGCAGCCUCCUGGGCCAACACUGACACUCAGGCACGAAAGCGUGGGGAGCAAACAG
rnacentral:rRNA from 1 species